UGCUGAGACAUUUAAAGAGUGUGGGAAUUUUGUUUAGUAUGGGUGCAUUAUUUCUUUUUUGCAGGUUACAGACUGUGGCUCCGUCACUUUGCCAGCUGCCUUUCUGCCUUAGCAGAAGUUAGAGAAGUACCAGUCAACCUGAGAAUUGAUAUGGGAAAGUGAAACACUUCUCUGCUUCACCAGCUAUCUUCUCUCCUUGGCUGCCUCUGCAGUUGCUGGAGCUCUCAGUAUUGUUCUGUGUCUUGGAACUGCAGGUUUUCCACAAAAGAAAAUUUGGUUGUGUCAAGAGAUAAGAAUAAACCUCCUCUUCAAAAAUGCAGAGGAAAAUUACAGCACUUGUGAAAGGGAAAAUUUGGUUAUAAGAGCAAAAUAAACAGAAGAGAAAGACCUACAUCCAUAUGGCUGAUUCAUUCCUGCUGAGUCCACUUGUUGGAUUAGUUGCAAAUAUUUAAGCAUUUACCAUUCAAUAUAAAAACACUACAGAGCUUAACCAUUAUAACCACUGUACCACUCACUAUUUGGAAUUACCUGUGUUACCCUUGCAAUGACAAGAAAUGCCAAUAAAAGAUAAUACAGA
rnacentral:lncRNA from 1 species